rnacentral:piRNA from 1 species
GAACGAUGCGGGCAGCCAGAAUACGUUC